rnacentral:rRNA from 1 species
CAUGCAAGUCGAGGGGCAGCAUGAAAGUUUGCUUGCAAACUUUUGAUGGCGACCGGCGCACGGGUGAGUAACACGUAUCCAACCUGCCUCAUACUCGGGGAUAGCCUUUCGAAAGAAAGAUUAAUACCCGAUGUCAUAGUCCUACCGCAUGAUGGGAUUAUUAAAGAAUUUCGGUAUGGGAUGGGGAUGCGUUCCAUUAGUUAGUUGGCGGGGUAACGGCCCACCAAGACACGAUGGAUAGGGGUUCUGAGAGGAAGGUCCCCCACAUUGGAACUGAGACACGGUCCAACUCCUACGGGAGGCAGCAGUGAGGAAUAUUGGUCAAUGGACGAGAGUCUGAACCAGCCAAGUAGCGUGAAGGAUGACUGCCCUAUGGGUUGUAAACUUCUUUUAUAUGGGAAUAAAAGUUCCACGUGUGGGAUUUUGUAUGUACCAUAUGAAUAAGGAUCGGCUAACUCCGUGCCAGCAGCCGCGGUAAUACGGAGGAUCCGAGCGUUAUCCGGAUUUAUUGGGUUUAAAGGGAGCGUAGGUGGAUUGUUAAGUCAGUUGUGAAAGUUUGCGGCUCAACCGUAAAAUUGCAGUUGAAACUGGCAGUCUUGAGUACAGUAGAGGUGGGCGGAAUUCGUGGUGUAGCGGUGAAAUGCUUAGAUAUCACGAAGAACUCCGAUUGCGAAGGCAGCUCACUGGACUGCAACUGACACUGAGGCUCGAAAGUGUGGGUAUCAAACAGGAUUAGAUACCCUGGUAGUCCACACAGUAAACGAUGAAUACUCGCUGUUUGCGAUAUACAGCAAGCGGCCAAGCGAAAGCAUUAAGUAUUCCACCUGGGGAGUACGCCGGCAACGGUGAAACUCAAAGGAAUUGACGGGGGCCCGCACAAGCGGAGGAACAUGUGGUUUAAUUCGAUGAUACGCGAGGAACCUUACCCGGGCUUAAAUUGCACCUGAAUAAUGUGGAAACAUGUUAGCCGUAAGGCAGGUGUGAAGGUGCUGCAUGGUUGUCGUCAGCUCGUGCCGUGAGGUGUCGGCUUAAGUGCCAUAACGAGCGCAACCCUUAUCUUCAGUUACUAACAGGUCAUGCUGAGGACUCUGGAGAGACUGCCGUCGUAAGAUGUGAGGAAGGUGGGGAUGACGUCAAAUCAGCACGGCCCUUACGUCCGGGGCUACACACGUGUUACAAUGGGAGGUACAGAAGGCCGCUACCUGGCGACAGGAUGCCAAUCCCCAAAACCUCUCUCAGUUCGGAUCGAAGUCUGCAACCCGACUUCGUGAAGCUGGAUUCGCUAGUAAUCGCGCAUCAGCCAUGGCGCGGUGAAUACGUUCCCGGGCCUUGUACACACCGCCCGUCAAGCCAUGAAAGCCGGGGGUACCUGAAGUACGUAACCGCAAGGAUC